UACGAAGGGGGCUAGCGUUGCUCGGAAUCACUGGGCGUAAAGGGUGCGUAGGCGGGUCUUUAAGUCAGGGGUGAAAUCCUGGAGCUCAACUCCAGAACUGCCUUUGAUACUGAGGAUCUUGAGUUCGGGAGAGGUGAGUGGAACUGCGAGUGUAGAGGUGAAAUUCGUAGAUAUCGUUUGGAACGCCAAAGGUGAAACAGACAGCUGGGAGUGUGCUGACGCUGAGACACGAAAGCCAGGGAGCGAACGGG
rnacentral:rRNA from 1 species